UUGCUGAGGCACGAAGCGUGGGGAGCAAACAGGAUUAGAUACCCUGGUAGUCCACGCCGUAACCGAUGAGUACUAAACGUUGGGUAAAACCAGUGUUGAAGUUAACACAUUAAGUACUCCGCCUGAGUAGUACGUACGCAAGUAUGAAACUUAAAGGAGCUGACGGGACUCCGCACAAGCGGUGGAUCAUGUUGUUUAAUUCGAAGGUACCCGAAAAACCUCACCAGGUCUUGACAUGCUUCUGCAAAGCUGUAGAAACACAGUGGAGGUUAUCAGUUGCACAGGUGGUGCAUGGUUGUCGUCAGCUCGUGUCGUGAGAUGUUGGGUUAAGUCCCGCAACGACCGCAACCCUUAUUGUUAGUUACCAGCACGUAAUGGUGGGGACUUUAGCAAGACUGCCAGUGAUAAAUUGGAGGAAGGUGGGGACGACGUCAAAUCAUCAUGCCCCUUAUGACCUGGGCCUACAAACGUGAUACAAUGGCUGUUACAGAGGGUAGCUGAAGCGCAAGUUUUUGGCGAAUCUCAAAAAAACAGUCUCAGUUCGGAUUGAAGUCUGACAACUCGACUUCAUGAAGUUGGAAUCGCUAGUAAUCGCGAAUCAGCAUGUCGGCGGUGAAUACGUUCUCGGGGUUUGUACACACCGCCCGCCUAACCACGAAAGUUGGCAAUACCCAAAGCCGGUGGCCUAACUUCGCAAGAAGGGGGAACCGUCUAAUAGGGUCGAUGAUUGGGUUAAGUCGUGCAAGGUAACCGUAACGGAAGGUGGGGAUGGAUCA
rnacentral:rRNA from 1 species